rnacentral:rRNA from 1 species
GUCCACGCCGUAAACGAUGGGUGCUAGGUGUCGCGGGCUUUGACUCCCGCGGUGCCGUAGCUAACGCAUUAAGCACCCCGCCUGGGAAGUACGGCCGCAAGGCUAAAACUCAAAGGAUUGACGGGGCCCGCACAAGCGGUGGAGCAUGUGGUUUAAUUCGACGCAACGCGAAGAACCUUACCUGGGCCUAGAAAAUGCAGGAACCUGGGAGAAGUCUCGGGGUGCCCUUCGGGGAGCCUGUAGUUAGGUGCUGCAUGGCUGUCGU